UACGGAGGGGCCUAGCGUUGCUCGGAAUCACUGGGCGUAAAGGGUGCGUAGGCGGGUUUUUAAGUCAGGGGGGAAAUCCUGGAGCUCAACUCCAGAACUGCCUUUGAUACUGAAGAUCUUGAGUCCGGGAGAGGUGAGUGGAACUGCGAGUGUAGAGGUGAAAUUCGUAGAUAUUCGCAAGAACACCAGUGGCGAAGGCGGCUCACUGGCCCGGUACUGACGCUGAGGCACGAAAGCGUGGGGAGCAAACAGG
rnacentral:rRNA from 1 species